CUACGGGCGGCAGUAGUGAGGAAUAUUGCACAAUGGGGGGAACCCUGAUGCAGCAACGCCGCGUGGAGGAUGACGCAUUUCGGUGUGUAAACUCCUUUUAUAUGUCAAGAAAAUGACGGUAGCAUAUGAAUAAGCACCGGCUAACUCCGUGCCAGCAGCCGCGGUAAUACGGAGGGUGCAAGCGUUACUCGGAAUCACUGGGCGUAAAGGACGCGUAGGCGGGUUGGAAAGUCAGGUGUGAAAUCCUACAGCUUAACUGUAGAACUGCACUUGAAACUUCUAAUCUAGGGUAUGGGAGGGGGAGAUGGAAUUAGUGGUGUAGGGGUAAAAUCCGUAGAUAUCACUAGGAAUACCUAAAGCGAAGGCGAUCUCCUGGAACAUUACUGACGCUAAGGCGUGAAAGCGUGGGGAGCAAACAGGAUUAGAUACCCUCGUAGUC
rnacentral:rRNA from 1 species